UUGCAUCAAAUAAAAAUUUAAUAUUGGUUGAAAUAGUACCUACAAUUGAUUUAGAAAAACUUUGUAAAACCAACUUCUAAAUUAGUUUUUAUACUAUAACAACUUGAUGGAAUUAUGUUGUAUGAGUCUAAUUUUGUAGGCAAAUCUAAGUCUAUGCAAGAAAAUGACAUCUUAAUAUAAUUUUUGUUAAUCAUGUCUCUUGAUACUUCAUAUUUAGAUUCUACUCCUAUCCUUUUGUUCAAUAAUCUUAAUAACUCCAUUUCAUUGUUAUCUUCUUUUCCUUGCAAGGAGAAUCAAUUCAUCACAUGACUUGUAUUAGAUAGAUAUUUAAGCUCAAAGAAAACAAAUGAGUAAUUUACUAUAUAUAUAUAUAUAUAUAUAUAUGAUAAAAAUUUAAUGAUUGCUCAGAUAUUAUAUAUAUAUAUAUAUAUAUAUAUAUAUAUAUAUGUACAUAUACAUAUAAGUUUAGACCAAGAGACUUGUAGAAAUACGUGUAAUCAACAAUAAUUAAUUUUGAAUUUUUCAUAUAUAAUUGGAAGAUGUCACAACAAAAAAAAAUUGUGCACAAAAAAAUUAAACAAAAUUUUAAAUUUGCCAUGUAUGGUGGAUCUCAAGUACAAUCCAAAAAAGGACUCCAUGGGAUAAGAGGAAUCCCAUUCAUUCAUUUGUCCAAAAGUCGUGUUUAAAAUGCCACAAAUUAGGGUUUAAAUACCGUCUCCUUCUCCUUU
rnacentral:lncRNA from 1 species